rnacentral:rRNA from 1 species
UACGUAGGGUGCGAGCGUUGUCCGGAAUUAUUGGGCGUAAAGGGCGCGUAGGCGGCCUGGCAAGUGGAAGGUGAAAUCCCUCGGCUUAACCGAGGAACUGCCCUCCAAACUGCCUGGCUUGAGUCCGGGAGAGGUGAGUGGAAUUCCCAGUGUAGCGGUGAAAUGCGUAGAUAUCGGGAGGAACACCAGUGGCGCAAGCGGCCGCCUGGCACUGACCUGACACUGAGCCACGACGGCGUGGGGAGCAAACGGG